rnacentral:rRNA from 1 species
AUGGCUCAGGAUGAACGCUGGCGGCGUGCCUAACACAUGCAAGUCGAACGAAGCACUUUCUCGGAGAUUCGUCGAAGAGGAAUUUGACUAGUGGCGGACGGUGAGUAAUGUAUGAGCAACCUGCCUUUCAGUGGGGGACAACAGUUGGAAACGACUGCUAAUACCGCAUAAUGUAUCGAGGGGGCAUCCCCAUGAUACCAAAGGAGUAAUUCGCUGAAAGAUGGGCUCAUAUCUGAUUAGUUAGUUGGUGGGGUAACGGCUCACCAAGACUGCGAUCAGUAGCCGGACUGAGAGGUUGAACGGCCACAUUGGGACUGAGAUACGGCCCAGACUCCUACGGGAGGCAGCAGUGGGGAAUAUUGGGCAAUGGGCGAAAGCCCUGACCCAGCAACGCCGCGUGAAGGAAGAAGGUCUUCGGAUUGUAAACUUCUUUUAUGAGGGACGAAGGACGUGACGGUACCUCAUGAAUAAGCCACGGCUAACUACGUGCCAGCCGCGGC